rnacentral:rRNA from 1 species
UACAGAGGGGGCAAGCGUUAUUCGGAAUUAUUGGGCGUAAAGGGCGCGUAGGCGGCUUUGCAAGUGACGGGUGAAAUCCCUCGGCUUAACCGAGGAACUGCCUGUCAAACUGCAUGGCUUGAGACCGGGAGAGGUGAGUGGAAUUCCCAGUGUAGCGGUGAAAUGCGUAGAGAUGUGGAGGAACACCAGUGGCGAAGGCGACUCUUGGUCUGUAACUGACGCUGAGGCGCGAAAGCGUGGGGAGCAAACAGG